rnacentral:tRNA from 1 species
ACAUGUGGGCGAUUAGCUCAGUUGGGAGAGCACCUGCCUUACAAGCAGGGGGUCACUGGUUCGAACCCGGUAUCGC